rnacentral:rRNA from 1 species
GGACCUGACUGCUAUCGGAUUGAUACUAAGCCAUGCGAGUCAUUGUAGCAAUACAAGGCAUACGGCUCAGUAACGCGUAGUCAACCUAACCUAUGGACGGGAAUAACCUCGGGAAACUGAGAAUAAUGCCCGAUAGAACAUUAUGCCUGGAAUGGUUUAUGUUCCAAAUGAUUUAUCGCCGUAGGAUGGGACUGCGGCCUAUCAGUUUGUUGGUGAGGUAAUGGCCCACCAAGACUAUUACAGGUACGGGCUCUGAGAGGAGUAGCCCGGAGAUGGGUACUGAGACACGGACCCAGGCCCUAUGGGGCGCAGCAGGCGAGAAAACUUUGCAAUGUGCGAAAGCACGACAAGGUUAACCCGAGUGGUUUCUGCUAAAGAAACCUUUUGUCAGUCCUAGAAACACUGAUGAAUAAGGGGUGGGCAAGUUCUGGUGU